ACGUAUCUACGCAUUAAUUAAAUUUAAAAAAAAAGAAAAUUGGGUUAAUUAAGUGGAAACGUAUCUUAAUUAGGGGAAGGAAGACACCGUGUCUUGAGACACGUGUUGAGUUGUGGGUGUUCAGAAGCAAACCGUGUCUCUCUCCCUUCUUCGAUUUCGUCGACGACUCCGACGUCUUCAUCUCCCAACCAUGGCUUCUCCUUCUGUUUUAGAGCAUCGUCCAGCUUCACUCGAUGCUACAGCAGAUCCACCCGCUCUGUGUUCGACAGAACCACAAGAUUGUACACAAGCUACGGUUGCCCAUAUGCUCAACGUGUUUGGAUCACCAGAAACUUCAAGGGUCUGCAAGAAAAGAUUAAGCUUGUUCCUUUGACCUUGGGAAUAGGCCUGCUUGGUACAAGGACAAAGUCUAUCCUGAAAACAAGGUGCCAGCACUUGAGCACAAUGGAAAGUCUUGAUUUGAUCAAGUAUCUCAACAACACUUUUAAAUCAUCUUCCUCACCAAUCAAAUGGCGUCUUUGUCUGGUUCCUAAAUUAAUGAGAUGGACGUAGAGAACACUGAUGAGAUAAGAUGGACGUAGUAAGACGCCAUUUGAUUGGUGAGAAUGUUAUUGCGCUCACUGUACUGGGGGUCCUCUGUUUCAACAGCGACCGUAUCCAUCACCUGGAGCUGUUCUGAGGAGAAACGCAGAGACGGCAUCGUCGCAGAAGAAGAAACCAAACUCUCAUUUCACGGAAAUCACAAAGAGAGGCGAUGGAAAAGAUGGUCUUGCUGAUGCAGAUUGAGAAAGAGAGAAAGAGACUUAUUUUUUAAAAGAACCUUUGAAUAAGAAACUUGCAAUGGAGCAAGUAAAUUUUUGGGUCUCUUAAUCAAGUCUCUUAAUUUACUUUUACAAUUAAAAAAUAUUUAAAAAAAAUAAGAGACCCAUUUAGGGUUUUUGGGAUAA